ACAUGCAGUCGAACGAGGGUCCUUGCGGGGCCUUAGUGGCGCACGGGUGCGUAACGCGUAACCAACCUGCCCUGAACUGGGGGAUAGCCCGCCGAAAGGCGGAUUAAUACCGCAUAAACCAACAGUGUGGCAUCACAUAAUUGGUAAAGAUUUAUUGGUUCAGGAUGGGGUUGCGUAGCAUUAGCUAGUUGGCGGGGUAACGGCCCACCAAGGCGACGAUGCUUAGGGGACCUGAGAGGGUGAUCCCCCACACUGGCACUGAGAUACGGGCCAGACUCCUACGGGAGGCAGCAGUAGGGAAUAUUGGGCAAUGGACGAGAGUCUGACCCAGCCAUGCCGCGUGCCGGAUGAAGGCCUUCUGGGUUGUAAACGGCUUUUCUCAGGGAAGAAAAAGGGUAUGCGUACUCAACUGACGGUACCUGAGGAAUAAGCACCGGCUAACUCCGUGCCAGCAGCCGCGGUAAUACGGAGGGUGCAAGCGUUGUCCGGAUUUAUUGGGUUUAAAGGGUGCGUAGGCGGCCCGUUAAGUCCGGGGUGAAAGCCCACAGCUCAACUGUGGAACUGCCCUGGAUACUGGCGGGCUUGAGUCCAGACGAGGUUGGCGGAAUGGAUGGUGUAGCGGUGAAAUGCAUAGAUACCAUCCAGAACCCCGAUUGCGUAGGCAGCUGACUAGGCUGGUACUGACGCUGAGGCACGAAAGCGUGGGGAGCGAACAGGAUUAGAUACCCUGGUAGUCCACGCCGU
rnacentral:rRNA from 1 species